CCUGGCGGCCGUAGCGCGGUGGUCCCACCUGACCCCAUGCCGAACUCAGAAGUGAAACGCCGUAGCGCCGAUGGUAGUG
rnacentral:rRNA from 5 species